CCGAGUUAUUACAACUCCCAAACCCCUGUGAACAUACCUUAUGUUGCCUCGGCGGAUCAGCCCGCGGCCGGCCUUGAGGCCACCGCCCGGACCAGGGCCCGCCGGCAGGAACCCUAAACUCUGUAUUUUAUAAGUGAUCUUCUGAGUAUAAAUACAAAUGAAAUCA
rnacentral:misc_RNA from 1 species